rnacentral:rRNA from 1 species
CCCUUAGAUGUUCUGGGCCGCACGCGCGCUACACUGACGAAUGCAACGAGCUUAUAACCUUGGCCGAAAGGUCUGGGUAAUCUCCAAAUUUCGUCGUGAUGGGGAUAGAUUAUUGCAAUUAUUACUCUUCAACGAGGAAUGCCUAGUAAGCGCAAGUCAUCAGCUUGCGUUGAUUACGUCCCUGCCCUUUGUACACACCGCCCGUCGCUCCUACCGAUUGAAUGGUCCGGUGAAGCGUUCGGACCGUGGCCUUUGGACGGUUCGCCGUCUGUUGGCUGCGGGAAGUUCGUUAAACCUUAUCAUUUAGAGGAAGGAGAAGUCGUAACA